rnacentral:piRNA from 1 species
UCUAAUGUUCCUGGUCUGCAGCGUCCUCU